rnacentral:rRNA from 1 species
CCUACGGGAGGCAGCAGUGAGGAAUAUUGGUCAAUGGGCGUAAGCCUGAACCAGCCAAGUCGCGUGAGGGAUGAAGGCUCUAUGGAUCGUAAACCUCUUUUAUAAGGGGAUAAAGUGCGGGACGUGUCCCGUUUUGUAGGUACCUUAUGAAUAAGGAUCGGCUAACUCCGUGCCAGCAGCCGCGGUAAUACGGAGGAUCCGCGCGUUAUCCGGAUUUAUUGGGUUUAAAGGGGGCGUAGGCGGCCUGUUAAGUGAGCGGUGAAAGUCCGGGGCUCAACCAUGGCAUUGCGGGUGAAACUGGGUGGCUUGAGUAUGUUUGAGGCAGGCGGAAUGCGUGGUGUAGCGGUGAAAUGCUUAGAUAUCACGCAGAACCCCGAUUGCGAAGGCAGCAUGC